UGCCUGAGCCUCCUCGAUUCUCCGAUUUCUGAUUUUUGGUUCUUCUUCUUCCAUUUGCAUGUGUUUUCCCAGUUCCCAAUCCAUUAUAGAGUGCUUAAAAGGAUGUUUAUUUCUCCCUAAUCUGAUGAGUUAGUGAAAUCAGAAAAAGGCUCAAUGAACAUAGCAUGUGAGAUGGGCUUGUAUUUUAUUCAGAUUUAUAGUGUGCUCAGGGGCCCCACUUCCACUAGCCAUGUGACUGGGGGUACUGAAAAGCUCGAUAUCCGUUGUUUUCUUUGCCGCUGGACCUUUUCCUCUUUCUAACACUCUGUCUCUAUAUCCUAGCAACAUAGGUCUGGCUUUUGUACUAUCUAGCAGUAUGUCACUAUUACCUCGAUCUGCUCUCUUCUCAACUUCCAUCGAUCUAUAUGUCGUCGGCGACUCCACCCAUACUGGCAGCGAGUAUCUCAGCCCAUUAUCGACGAUCUCAAUCUUAGUCGGGUCUUCUUCCUUGGUCUGAUUCUUGCCCAUCUCUGAUGUCUCCUCUUCCGUUUCUAGCCACCCCCACAUUUAUCACCUAUCUUUCCCAUCACCUUGUUGUUCCAGAGUUGCAAUGGUAGCCCUAAAAUCCUAAUCCAAAACCAAUCAAACCUUUUUUUCGUCUAGGAAGGCUCCUAUCGUCACAGACCAGCAUUCUAGUUUCAACGUCAUAACUUGUCUAUUCCACUCACCCAUGAUAACAUGUUUAGUCAUCCUUCUAUUAUGAAAUUCAAAGAGGAAGAGGAAGCCAUUCAUGGCGUACCCCUAAACAUAAUGAUAUACCUUCCAUGUUUGUUGGGCCCAUCUAUGCACAUCAUUUCAAAUUGGCACAUCUCCUUCUCCACAAAACUUGUAUGCCGUCUACAUUAGAAGUCGCCGUCAACAUUGAAUUCUCACUGGUUACAUUCAUUUCUCUCUUGCUCCAUUUACUAUUGUGCAGAGCUCCUAUGUAAUCCCUCCUCCUAAUUAUUGUUUUGAGAUUUAAUUCCCUUUUUGUAAUAAAUUCCCCUUUCUUUUCUAUUUUUCUUUCAAUAAGUUUUCCACUUUUGUUACCAGAUUCCACCAUCCCUCAUUAAAUGCAUUUUCUGGAAUUAUAAUUACUGAUCUACUCUGCCCUUUCAUUGUGAUAAUAGAAAUAAAUUGAUCGUACUUAUUGAAUUAAGGUGAGCAACAAAUAUAUGUCAAAAUGUCUCUGCAUCUCCAUAUUUUUAAGUUUUCCCCCUGCUUUCAAAAGCUUCCUUUAAUCUUUUCCAUAACCAAAGUAAAUCCCUCGUACUCGAUAUCAUACGCCUGAUAGACAUCUUGGUACUCUUCACUCACUCAAACCAUAUCUCUGAAGCCGAUAUUGAUUUUAUAAGAUCAUAAGAUUUUCCCCUGUCCGAAAUACAACCUGCUCUCCAUGUUCUUAUAUGCUACCUAGAUAAAAAAAAAAAAGGCAAGAAAGGGAAGAGAUUCCGAUGGCAGAUAACCACAGGAAAAGGGGCUCUAGACACCCAGAAGGGAUCUCUAUAUGCCACCAAGGCAAAAGUGCUUGGGAGCAUGCAAUUGAAUAUUUUUCUAUACUCCUACUUGGAAAAGGAUUAGUGUAUAGAAUCCUAAUUGGAAAAAGAUUGUAAUGUAGUGUCCUAGUUGGAAAAUGAGUCUAAUAUAAUGUUAUAAAUAGGGUCUCAAUGUAAUUUGUAGAUACACAAUUUAAUAAUAUUUUUCUCCAAUAUUUCUCACAUGGUAUUAGAGCUUCUACAAUCCUGAUAGAAAAUCAAAGAGCUUCCCUUCUGGCGGGCGGCUAUGACCAAUAUAUAUCGCCCGUUGGGCUAAUGGUUAUGUUAAAAAAAGUAGAGCAUAUGAUAUAUACAUGAACCCCAUAUUCAGGGGAAGAAAACUUAGUCAGACAGGUCACUGUGUGUUAAUUUCCGGCGACUUUCUAAGGUAGUGUACUUGUUUAUACUAUGAUUUCAGAUGAAAUGCAAGAUCUAUUACAUCAAUGUUCUCUCACUGCCAACUGAGGAUGCCAUGCUUAUGCAAAUGAGUAGUCCACAUGUCCACACAAAGGAGAAACAACCUUUCCUUUCACGGAGUCAACCACAAAACCUAUCGCGAUCAAUAGGCAAAAAACAAGCACCCUAAAUUUUUUCCCCAAGAUCAUUUAGUUGGAUAACAUGUCUCAUCAAUAAGGAGAUGAUGAUGAAUACGUAGUAGAUGAAUAUGAAAUGGAAGAACUAGAUGAUUUUAUUGAUGAGUUCCAAGGCGUAGACUUGAGUGGCUUUGAUUUAGAUGUAGAUGCAUUGCAAGGCAUAUACUUGGAUGACUUUGAUUUGGAUGUAGAUGAGUUCCUAGGCGUAGACUUGGGUGGCUUUGAUUUAGAUAUAGAUGAGUAUGACUAUAUGAAUAAAGAAUGCAAGAUAAUUUGGUUACUGAGGUAAGGAGUGACAGAUUUUCAAGGGAUCCCUUAGGGAAGGGUUACCAUAACCAGGGAGAUCACAACUAGGCAAAGAAGCAACACUAUCAGGAACACUAUAAGAAGCGAAGCCAGCCAAGUCUAUGCCUAAGAACUCAUCUACAUCAAAGUCAUCCAAGUCUAUGUCUUGCAACUCAUCUACAUCCGAAUCAAAGCCACCCAAGUCUACGGCUUGGAACUCACCAAUAAAAUCAUCUAGUUCUUCAUUUCAUAUUCAUCUGCUACAUAAUCAACAUCAUCUCCUUGUUGAUGGGACAUGUUACACUCCAACUAACUGAACUUGGGGAGAAAAUUUAGGGUGCUUGUUUUUUGCCUAUUGAUCACGAUAGAUUUUUUGGUUGACUCUAGGAAUGGAAAGGUUGUUUCACCUUUGUGUGGCCAUAUGGACUACUCAUUUCCAUCAGCGUAGCAUCCUGAUGGCCUAAAGUUUGUAACUGGGCACCAGGAUAAAACAUGCAGAAUAUGGGAUAUUCAGAACUUGACAAGUCAUUCACUGCUUUGAAGGGUAACCUUGGAGCUAUUCGGUCAAUCCGCUACACGUCUAAUGGCAGAUUUAUGGCUAUGGCAGAGCUUGCAUAUUUUGUCCACAGUUAUUAUGUAAAAAAUGGAUAUGAGGUGGAGAAAAAAAAUUAAUUUCUUCAGUGAGAUAUCAGGAGCAUCUAUUAGUCCCAAUACAGAGUCUCUUAUCAUUGGUGUGUGGAAUCACACAUUUAAUAGCCUCCUUGAUUUGGACAAUGAAAUAACUAUUCAUAGCGUGAUGCAAUAAUAUGAGUACUCUGAAGGUAGAAGUGGAUUAUAUUUAGGUUCAUAUUUGCUCAAUCGUGCCAUUUGUAUGCUAGAUGAUCUCUGAUCAUUUGAAUGAUAAAACUUAAUGUGGUCUCCUUUAUAGCACAGGCCGACCAGUGUAACCUUGUAGGAACUUUUCAUGUUGGUUGGUGGCCUAUUUUGCAUAGCCAUAAACUUUGUGUUACUAAUUUUCGGGCAGACCUGUGAAAUUAAUGUCAAUUGUAGUGUGUCAAUCUUCUAUUAUGAUGAGUUGUGUGGGUUUUUAGAGUUGUAGAACAAGGUGCAAGUAAACUUGUUCCUAUUCCUAUUCGAACAAAAACAAUGAAGAUAUUACCUAAAUGUUUACUUCUGAACGUGGAAGAUUUUGGUUACUGCUACUUACAGAUAUCAUUGCUAAAUAAGGUGAAGAUGAGGUCACAAUUUGCAUGGAGGACCAGUUAAGAUCCUUAGAUCAAGCAUGGAAAGAAAUGUACUUCCAUGGAUAUGUUGUAUAAUGGUGUACCACAACAAAUUUGUCAUAUCGCAAGAAUCACUGAUGCCACUUCUGAAUUCUUUAAACAAGGUAGGAUAUGCUGCUACAGUGCGAUUGUUGUUGACUUAUUGCACAACGAAUUUGUCAUAUCGCAAGAACCACUGACGCCACUUCUGGAUUCUUUAAACAAGGUAGGAUAUGCUGCUACAGUGCUAUUGUUGUUGACUUAUUGCACAAUUAUUGAUUUUAUUUGGGGUGCCAAUUGUCUAUGGUUUCAUAUUUUCUAUAAUAUCAUUUCUGAUCGACUUUUUUGAUAAGAUACAUGUUUGUUUAUGCACUCUACUCUUUUCUGAUGUAUCUUCUCUAUAAGUUUUGUUUUGCGAACUUCAUGGGAUGAGUGUUACCGUGUUACAUAUCAAAGAGGGAGUUCUCCUGAUGGUAUAUUAUGAAGGAGGAAGGUUUUAGAGCUAUGCUGAGUUAUGAAAAAAGUUUUUCAAGGAAGAAGAUAGUAACUAAUCUUUCAUCGGGAGGUUAAAUGACCAUUUCGUGCCAAUAAUCAUAGUAUACAUGCAUCUAUACAAUGAGUAUUGUGUGUAUAGAGGUAGCUUAUGGUCAUGACAAUAGUAAGAAUCAUGAUGAUGACAGAUCAUGUUGUUCCUAAUCUAUUUUACAUGACUUGGGGAUGAAUAUUGGAUUCAAUUAUAGAUCUAACACAAACAUGUUAACUUCCUGCAAGAAUUUACUAUUUAGUAUUUUUUGAAGGAUUGAAGUGCUCACCCCAACACUCAAGGAUGUGACUUAUUGGUCAUUAAAGUGGGUGCAAACCAGGAGACUAGGUCCAAAUCUCAGUAGAGACCAAAAACGCUAAGUGGUUUCUUGCCAUCUACCUAAGCAUGGGUAGAUAGAGUUAUCCAGGACCACUAGAGGUAGCAAGUACUCGAUCGUAUAGUUAUUGUGUGCGCAAGCUGAUCCAGAACCACCAUUAUUUUUGGAAAAGAAAAGAAAAGCAAAGUGUUCACACCCAUGUGACCUAUCAGUAUAUCUAGAUAUCAUUGCUAAACAAGGUGAAGAUGAGGUCACAAUUUGCAUGGAGGACCAGUUAAGAUCCUUAGGUAUAAUUAGAACUGAUUAUGAUAUCUCACCUAGCUAAAUCUUUAUCCUACAUUUAUUAAAGAAAUAAGUGUUGAUGCUAGUAUGCCACCAAAGAAGGUCCGUACCUCUUGGAUACUGAGGAUACUUUUUAGUUUGAUUUGGUCUAUUUUUGUUACCAUAUGGAAUAAAUUUGUUUUGACUGCAUUCAUGUAAUGCAAAUCAAAGCAACUUUUUUUAUCUAUGGAACUGCCUUAUUCUUUCAACGAAAGCCUUAGUGGUAGCAUGGCAGUCCAGAUCAAGCAUGGGAAGACAUGUACUUUCAUGGAUAUGUUGUAUAAUGAUGUUCCACAACAAAUUUGUCACAUCGCAGGAACCACUGACGCCACUUCUGGAUUCUUUAAACAAGCUUAUAGCAGGUUAAAGGUGGCAGCCCUUAGCAGUUUGUUGCAGUUAUCUGGUCGUUUGCAACUUGUAUGGCAUAGAUCAACAAGGCUGACAAUAAAAGAAAGGCCCUGCAUUGACACUCGAGGUGCAGAUGGAUGAAAGUGAGAAUGACGAGGUGUUGUGGGGCUGACUGAAUUCAUUAAUCUCUUGUUGCACACACACAUAAUGUUUUUUGCA